GUGAAACCGAAACGGAGCCGAGCGCCUGACUGAGGCCGAAAGCUCCGGCCGCUCCGCGUGUAAACAGUGAAACAGCGUCACGUGACCGACACCGCCCCUCCCCCCGCGGGCUUGGCCCCCCUCGGCCCCGCCCUCUUUCUCCCCGCGGGCCCAGGAGCGCGCGCAUGCGCGCUGCUUGGAAACCGGCUGGGGGCCGGGCCACACGUACUGCGCGCGGGCUAGGCGUGCGCGGGCUCGUUGGAGGCGGGAAGGCGGGAAGGGCGGUGACAGGUCGCACCGCGGGCUGAGGUCGCGCCGCUUCGUGGCGCCUGGCGAGGGCCAGAGCGCCUAUUCCUGUAGAUGGUCAGGUGGAGGCGUGGGAAAGAUCCUCCUGUAGUGAUCAAGUGUAUUCACUUAUUCGAAGUCUGGGCUGGCUUGGGUUGGAGGCUUUUUUUUUUUUUUUUUUUAAGUGGGGCACAUCUAAUUGAGCUGGAGGUGGAGUACGGGUCCAGCCUAAAGGUGAAGAAUUAGAUCGAAGACGACUUUGAACUAGUUACAGUGGCAACCACGGUGACCCAGGCUUGUGUGGCCCUUAGAGGCAGAAGGUGAUACAGGAAGGCUAGAGGGGACUUGUACUGGCAUAUAGCCCCUCUCUCAGGUCAGGACAGGCUCUGGAAACAGGAGGGAAUUUUUCUCUGAUCUUCACUGUGAGAACCUGGUGGGUUCCUGGAGGCAAAGCCCAUGAAAAUAUAGGCGUCCCCCCAAGAUUGGUCCCUCAGGAGUUUUUAACUCUCAACCAAGUCUACACCCAGCCUCAAGCAAUUCAUCUAAAGCACCUUUUCAGUGCUCCUACCAAUAAUUGGCUCCAGCAGCUUCUGCCUUAGGUAAUCUCUGCUGUGAUUCUCCGUAUUCACCUGCCUCUCCACAUUUUGGGCUGGUGGUUUGCCCUGUGACCUGAGUUCUCUGGGUCUAAUAAAAGUCAAUGCUUCUCCUUUUGCUUAGCAUCUUUCUUGUUGUGAGGCUGGGAGUGACAACUUAUAAGCUCUGUAUAUGUCAGAGCUCAAUAUUAGACAUUUGAGUUGGGAUUUCUCUUGCACCUUGAGGCUGAAUGUCAGGAGCCCUAUUCAUAGCCCAAACAUCACCAAUAAGCCUGCACAAGUACAACUAUAGUUUUCAAGGUCAGUUCAGUAUCUACUUCGUUAUGAGAUAAUUACAUUAUUUUCUUUUUAUCCAUUAAGAACAAA